GACAGGUGGCCGAGUGGUUGAAGGCGCUCGCCUGGAAAGCGGGUAUACGUUCAUAGCGUAUCGAGGGUUCGAAUCCCUCCCUGUCC
rnacentral:tRNA from 1 species